rnacentral:rRNA from 1 species
AGUGAACGCUGGCGGCGUGCCUAAUACAUGCAAGUCGAACGGAAUUUAAAAGAGCUUGCUCUUUUAAAUUUAGUGGCGCACGGGUGAGUAAUAUAUAGCUAAUCUGCCCCUUGCUGGAGGACAACAGUUAGAAAUGACUGCUAAUACUCCAUACUCCUUUUUACCAUAAGAUAAAUCGGGAAAGAAUUUCGGCAAGGGAUGAGACUAUAUCGUAUCAGCUAGUCGGUGGGGUAACGGCCUACCGAGGCUAUGACGCGUAACUGGUCUGAGAGGAUGAUCAGUCACAUUGGAACUGAGACACGGUCCAAACUCCUACGGGAGGCAGCAGUAGGGAAUAUUGCGCAAUGGGGGAAACCCUGACGCAGCAACGCCGCGUGGAGGAUGACACUUUUCGGAGCGUAAACUCCUUUUGUUAGGGAAGAAUAAUGACGGACCUAACGAUAGCCCCG